rnacentral:rRNA from 1 species
UAGGAGGUCUAGCCUGCCCAGUGACCACAGUUCAACGGCCGCGGUAUCCUAACCGUGCGAAGGUAGCGUAAUCACUUGUUCUUUAAAUGAGGACUAGUAUGAAUGGCAUCACGAGGGUUAUACUGUCUCCUCUCUCCAAUCAGUAAAACUAUUCUCCCCGUGAAGAAACGGGGAUGCUUUUAUAAGACGAGAAGACCCUAUGGAGCUUUAAAUUUUAUUUCAACUGCUCUCUCAUGUGAACCGCCCCGACCUAUUACACUUAGCUGAGCAUAAUGAUAAUAAAUUUUAGGUUGGGGUGACCGCGGAGCAUAAAAAAACCUCCGCAUAGAACAGGCCUAAGCCUUGAACAAAGAGCUACAACUCCAAGCACUAAUACAUUAACAUCCAUUGACCCAAUAUUUUUGAUCAACGAACCAAGUUACCCUAGGGAUAACAGCGCAAUCUACUUUGAGAGCUCCUAUCGACAAGUAGGUUUACGACCUCGAUGUUGGAUCAGGGUAUCCCAGUGGUGCAGCCGCUACUAAAGGUUCGUUUGUUCAACGAUUAAAACCCU